rnacentral:rRNA from 1 species
AGUAACACGUGGGGAACCUGCCCCAUAGUCUGGGAUACCACUUGGAAACAGGUGCUAAUACCGGAUAAGAAAGCAGAUCGCAUUAUCAGCUUUUAAAAGGCGGCGUAAGCUGUCGCUAUGGGAUGGCCCCGCGGUGUAUUAGCUAGUUGGUAAGGUAAAGGCUUACCAAGGCGAUGAUGCAUAGCCGAGUUGAGAGACUGAUCGGCCACAUUGGGACUGAGACACGGCCCAAACUCCUACGGGAGGCAGCAGUC